UCCACGCCCUAAACGAUGGGUGCUGGGUGUCGGGAGUGAAUCUCGGCGCCGAAGCCAACGCGUUAAGCACCCCGCCUGGGGAGUACGGCCGCAAGGCUGAAACUCAAAGGAAUUGACGGGGACCCGCACAAGCGGUGGAGCGUGUGGUUUAAUUCGAAGCAACGCGAAGAACCUUACCAGGCCUUGACAUGCCGGGGACCCUCCCGAAAAGGGAGGGGUGCCCCCUUUGGGGG
rnacentral:rRNA from 1 species